GUGGCAGCAGCCGCGGUAACACGUAGGGGGCGAGCGUUGUUCGGAAUCAUUGGGCGUAAAGGGCGUGCAGGCGGCACUGCAAGUCCGGCGUGAAAGACCCCGGCCCAACCGGGGGGGUGCGCUGGAAACUGCGGUGCUUGAGUACAGGAGGGGAUGCCGGAAUUCCAGGUGUAGGGGUGAAAUCUGUAGAUAUCUGGAAGAACACCGAUGGCGAAGGCAGGCAUCUGGCCAUGUACUGACGCUGAGACGCGAAGGUGCGGGGAGCAAACAGGUUUAGAUACCCUGGUAGUCCGCACAGUAAACGAUGUGCACCAGGUGGCGGGGGUAGAACCCUCGGUACCGUAGCAAACGCAUUAAGUGCACCGCCUGGGGAGUAUGCUCGCAAGGGUGAAACUCAAAGGAAUUGACGGGGGCCCGCACAAGCGGUGGAGCAUGUGGUUUAAUUCGAUGGUACGCGGAGRAAACCUUACCAGGGCUUGACAUACACCGGAAGCGCCGUGAAAGCGGCGUGCCGCUUGCGGCCGGUGAACAGGUGCUGCAUAGGCUGUCGUCAGCUCGUGCUGUGAANUGUUGGGUUAAGUCCCGCAACGAGCGCAACCCCUGCUGUCUGUUGCCACCACGGAGAGGUGGGGACUCAGGCGGAACUGCCGGUGACAAACCGGAGRAAGGUGGGGACGACGUCAAGUCAUCAUGGCCCCUUAUGUCCUGGGCUACACACGUGCUACAAUGGCCGGUACAGAGCGCAGCGAGGCCGCGAGGCGGAGCGAAUCGCUUAAAGCCGGUCCCAGUACGGAUUGGAGUCUGCAACCCGACUCCAUGAAGUUGGAAUCGCUAGUAAUCGCGCAUCAGCAUGGCGCGGUGAAUACGUUCCCGGGCCUUGCACUCACCGC
rnacentral:rRNA from 1 species